CCUACGUGAGGCUGCAGUGAGGAAUAUUGGUCAAUGGGCGGAAGCCUGAACCAGCCAAGUCGCGUGAGGGAAUAAGGCCCUACGGGUCGUAAACCUCUUUUGCCGGGGAGCAAGGGCGGGGACGUGUCCCGGCCCGGAGAGUACCCGGAGAAAAAGCAUCGGCUAACUCCGUGCCAGCAGCCGCGGUAAUACGGAGGAUGCGAGCGUUAUCCGGAUUUAUUGGGUUUAAAGGGGGCGUAGGCGGUCCUGCAAGUCUGGAGUGAAACGCAUGAGCUCAACUCAUGCAUGGCUUUGGAAACUGGAGGACUGGAGAGCAGGAGAGGGCGGUGGAACUCCAUGUGUAGCGGUAAAAUGCGUAGAUAGAUGGAAGAACACCAGUGGCGAAGGCGGCCGCCUGGCCUGUUGCUGACGCUGAGGCACGAAAGCGUGGGGAGCAAAUAGGAUUAGAUACCCGUGUAGUC
rnacentral:rRNA from 1 species